rnacentral:rRNA from 1 species
GAACCUGCGGAAGGAUCAUUGUCGAAACCAAACGGAAAGACCCGCGAACGUAUAAACGAAAACGUCGGAGGCGGGGAGAGCGAGCUUCGCUCCCUCCCUCCCGUCCUUUGUCGGCACGGCCGUCCCCGUCGUUCGGAGGGACGCUGCAGCGUCCCGAAUCGGUUUUUUACUGGGCCGAUCGACGGGUUCCGGUCGUGCCGGACGAACAAACACACGGGCGCAGGUCGCGCCAAGGAAAACGAAAGCAAAUAGGCUCGCCCUCCCCGGAUGCGCUCGCUUCGGCGGCGGGGGGACGGCGACGUCGUCAUCGGCAUAUGAUGACUCUCGGCAACGGAUAUCUCGGCUCUCGCAUCGAUGAAGAACGUAGCGAAAUGCGAUACUUGGUGUGAAUUGCAGAAUCCCGUGAACCAUCGAGUCUUUGAACGCAAGUUGCGCCCGAUGCCACUUUAGGCCGAGGGCACGUCUGUUUGGGCGUCGCACAUUGCAUCACCUGUCAAAGAUCCCCCUCGGGGGGGAUGCGCAGGUGGAGUGUGGCCUCCCGCGACUCGAGUCGCGGUUGGUCGAAAUCGGAAGGCGGGACGGCGGAUGCCGUGACAGUGGGUGAUUGGCGAGGCCCCCGACGGCAUACGGUUGCGACAACUGGUCACGGUUCCCCCGUCCGGCCUUGUCUAUUCGGACCCCGAGGUGCCGCAGGAAGCGGCAGCAUGCGGUGACCCCAGAUCAGGCGGGACUACCCGCUGAGUUUAAGCAUAUCAAUAAGCGG